rnacentral:rRNA from 1 species
CGUUCGGACCUCCGAUCAAGCAAGAG